UAUGUUUAAGAUCCAAUUACGUUUGCUUCUGGUAUAUGAUUAUUCUCCCUUUUCUGCUUUUAGAUAAAAGAUGUGGUAUUUUUUUCUGAACCAAUUAAGACUAGUCACCAGCACAGCAUCAAGGGCGAUCAGUGUCCCAUGCUGCCCUCAUUCUACUUGGGGAACAUAUCUACUUCCCAAGGAAACAGCAAUAGUCACUCAUCCUUUGCAAGGAUGCCCCAGAAAGUGCCAAGUCCCAGGGGAUAGAUUUCUUCUCAUUACUGUUUCUUAUCUAUGGAUUCUCUAAUGGUGUCUCCCUCCAAGGUGAAAGGCUGAACAUGACUGUAAGACUGUCAUCAUUACCUCUCUCCAAAGUAGGGCUGAAGAGGAUGUUCUUAGCCAGCAGUCUGAUUAUGCAAAAUACUUAAAGAGUUGAGAAAUUAAAAUGAUAUUUUCUACUGACUUUCUAUCAAUCUGGGGAUGAGAAUUGCAUCCUGCAAGCAAACCAUAUUGUAGAAAAUCUCUAUGGAAAUUAGAUAUUUUUAAAGCAAUUUAAGAUGUUGUUUCUUUCUUGUUUCAUAAGAAAGUACAGCAUAAAACCAUAGCAUAGGAAUAAUAAUGUCCUUAUAUACAAGUUUUAUCAAUGUAAAUGUGGUGUUUUAGAGAGCUAUCAUGCAGUGGCCUCCUGAUGAAGAGAGAUAUCACAGAACUAUAUUGGGAAGCAUUGAAUACCCCAUGAGAAGGAUAUGCCCUGACAAUAAAAACAAACCCUUGAUGGUCA
rnacentral:lncRNA from 1 species